AUUCGGUCUUCAACAUGUUGUGCUGUGCUCUAGAUCCGAUACUGGAGUGAUCAAAAGGAGCAGUGGACUGUACCAAACGCAAAAAGGGGGGUUCGGCUAGAAAACGCACCGUUUCGACAAGAAACAGUCAAGCUCGGCCCCCCCUCCUCGUGUAAUUUACCGGCCUACACGGUAAAACGACCACGGGCAGGAGUUUCCAGUACCUGGUUGACUGGGAAAGUUAGGGCCCGGAGGAGAGGUGCUGGGUUCCCUCUAGAGACAUCCUGGAUCCAGCCCUCAUCACUAUCUUCCACCGCCGACACCCCGUUCUACCGGGUAUGCGUCCAGUCCUCCCGGUUUUGACCCUUGCCUGUUUCUGGACUCUGUACCCACCUGCCUGACCUUGACCACGAGCCUGUCUGCCACUCUGUACCUCCUGGACUCUGAUCUGGUUUUGACCUUUUUGCCUGUCCACAACUAGUCUCUUGC